rnacentral:rRNA from 1 species
UACGUAGGGUGCGAGCGUUGUCCGGAAUUAUUGGGCGUAAAGGGCUCGUAGGCGGUUUGUCGCGUCGGGAGUGAAAACUCAGGGCUUAACCCUGAGCCUGCUUCCGAUACGGGCAGACUAGAGGUAUGCAGGGGAGAACGGAAUUCCUGGUGUAGCGGUGAAAUGCGCAGAUAUCAGGAGGAACACCGGUGGCGAAGGCGGUUCUCUGGGCAUUACCUGACGCUGAGGAGCGAAAGCGUGGGGAGCGAACAGG